GUGGAGAUUUAUUAGGCAACUCACCAUCCAGGGCCAAGCGGGAGGGUCCUGCUGUGGCUGGCGGCGCUGCGAGGCCAGUCGCCCGGUCAGACCUGUACGGGUCAUGUGACGACCACGAAAUAACCCGCCGGGCGUUGGUCGUCCGUGAAAGAGCCCACCGGGUGCUGGUCGUCCGAAGUGGAAGGGCAAGCGUUGCCGCGGACGGAAGAUCCUCCUCGGGUCCACGUAGUAGGCGUCUUCGUCGUCGAAGAAGAGCUUCCCCAUCCUCGUGGCUCCCUGGCGGGACUCGGCGUUUUCGUGCCGGACACCGCAGACUGCACGGCGGGACGGAGGUAUUUUCAGGAGACGCGUCCAGACACACGGUUCCCAUGGAGAGCAUUCCUGUAUAGAGCACCUGCACCAAUCGGGAGGUAAACGGAUUCGCUGGGACCACCUCUACAGCCAUCGUGGUGUUGUAAUUGCACAAUCUGGUGCUUCGAACUAAACUGAAGAAACACGUGUGAUAUAAUAAAGCAAACAACUCUUUGUAGGUACCAUGUCAAUGGUCGGGACGUUUCGCCAGGGCAAAGGUAAUUAGCUGGACGCAUAUGCCAUCGAAUAGUGAAAGUGCGGUGGUAAGUUAUGC